AGAGUUUGAUCCUGGCUCAGGACGAACGCUGGCGGCGUGCCUAAUACAUGCAAGUAGAACGCUGAAGAAAGGAGCUUGCUUCUUUUGGAUGAGUUGCGAACGGGUGAGUAACGCGUAGGUAACCUGCCUUGUAGCGGGGGGUAACUAUUGGAAACGAUAGCUAAUACCGCAUAACAGCUUUUGACACAUGUUAGAAGCUUGAAAGAUGCAAUUGUAUCACUACGAGAUGGACCUGCGUUGUAUUAGCUAGUAGGUAGGGUAACGGCCUACCUAGGCGACGAUACAUAGCCGACCUGAGAGGGUGAUCGGCCACACUGGGACUGAGACACGGCCCAGACUCCUACGGGAGGCAGCAGUAGGGAAUCUCCGGCAAUGGGGGCAACCCUGACCGAGCAACGCCGCGUGAGUGAAGAAGGUUUUCGGAUCGUAAAGCUCUGUUGUAAGAGAAGAACGUGUGUGAGAGUGGAAAGUUCACACAGUGACGGUAACUUACCAGAAAGGGACGGCUAACUACGUGCCAGCAGCCGCGGUAAUACGUAGGUCCCGAGCGUUGUCCGGAUUUAUUGGGCGUAAAGCGAGCGCAGGCGGUUUAAUAAGUCUGAAGUUAAAGGCAGUGGCUUAACCAUUGUUCGCUUUGGAAACUGUUAAACUUGAGUGCAGAAGGGGAGAGUGGAAUUCCAUGUGUAGCGGUGAAAUGCGUAGAUAUAUGGAGGAACACCGGUAGCGAAAGCGGCUCUCUGGUCUGUAACUGACGCUGAGGCUCGAAAGCGUGGGGAGCAAACAGGAUUAGAUACCCUGGUAGUCUACGCCGUAAACGAUGAGUGCUAGGUGUUAGGCCCUUUCCGGGGCUUAGUGCCGCAGCUAACGCAUUAAGCACUCCGCCUGGGGGGUACGACCGCAAGGUUGAAACUCAAAGGAAUUGACGG
rnacentral:rRNA from 1 species